GUGGGGACAGCUGCCGAGGGGCCUCGAUGGCUCGUCCAAUCCCCUCUCGUCCCGACUCCCGAGGCUCGCGUCAGCCGCCUCGUCUCCAUCCCCGCUCAAUCCCCGCAGCUGCUGGAUCCAGAAAGAAAAUCCCCCAGCCGCCACACCCUUUCUUCUCCAUGGCUCGGCUCCCCUCCCGCGUGCGUCCCUGCGGCGCCUGUGUAUGGAUGAGGAGGUCGAGGGCACGAGCAAGGAUCAUGCCGAACAGGGGCGCAAUGGGGUGGCCGGGGAGCGCGCGGUGUCUGGAGAGACAAAGAUGCUCCUAAGCAGAGGACGGCGCAGCGCUGGCUUCUCCUCUCCCCCCGCUGCCUGCACACCUCGCCGAUGUCUGCUCGUCAUCCGAGACAACUAGCGAUGAUAAUACCUUGGAUGCGAGUGAUGAUGGAUUCUUUACUUCUGGAAGUUCGAGUGAUGAAGAGGCAGAUGGCGAGCUUACCGAUAAAAGUACAGCGUAUGGUUCAUAGCUCUUGCAUCUCAAAUAAAUAUGUGUAGGUUGGCGAUGAAGCCUGCUGGCCUUUUUCUUGAAGCAAUUCUUGCAGGGAAGACUCUGAAGUGGCAAUAGGGGUUGGCGGAUGCUCCGAGACCAUAAAGAGCCUAUUCAAUGAUGAGAAGGAUGACAUGGCGAAGGAGGAUUCCGACAAGUUAGCCCCCACAAUCGGGCAGUUGGAGAGCUUGCACGAGCUUGAUCCAUGGACAUCGUCAGAGUGCUCAUUUUCUUGCAGUAUAUUAUUUUCAGAUCUCAUGUUUCUCAAGGUAAUGGACAAGAUUGAGUUUUUGGUAAUAUGGCACCAUUAAAAUAUAUUUUCUACUCUGUUUGUCGUUCAUUUGUUAUGCACCAUAUUUAAGGGAAUAUAGAGCAGGUUUGUUUGCCAUUGUUAUAAAAUCUGUAUCUGAAUAUUAUUUGUAGAUUUAUGUUUACCAAUCACAGUUUUGUUUUUCUGUGUGUAGAUAGAUUCACAUAUUUCAUGUACUAAUACAGUAAUUGAACAAUUGUAAGAAAUAUGGUUGGAGAUGAAGUAAACUGGUAAUUUUCUUAAGAAGAUUAUUGGCAUGUGAUGUGAUAUACUAUUAGGUCAUUUGUAAUACUGCUGCCUUUUCUUAUAUAGCUGUAAUAAUCCAAUUUGCAGGUGACAAAACUAUUUGAUGGCAAAACUAUUGUAGCACAACCAUACAGAAAGUAGUUUUAUUAGGGCAUUGAACCAUUUGGUGCUACAGUUAUUGUAAAUGUCUAAUAACUUUGUAAGAUAUUCAUCAUUGGUUCAAAAUAUUAUGCUUUGUUUGUGCCUUAUUUUGCAGGCUUGCUCUCAGCACUCCUCUAGACAGGGAAAGCCGAUGACUCCAUAUAGGAGUUUAGAUUACUCUGAGAACUGCCGGUACCAUGCCAUCACGGUUGCUUGCAAAAUUAGUAAAAUGCUAAAUUCCUGAGUUGUCUUAGUUAUGUAGCACACGAAUUGAGUGUGUGUUAAGAAUUGAUAUGUGAGUUGGCUUAGUUAUGAAAUCAAAAAGUACCUCUGUACAUGCAGGUAAUUGAGCAGUGGAUGGGUGAUGGGGAUAGGUUUCAUAAAACUGAUAAAUAUGAACUUGCACAUUGUAUUGUAUAUAAACAUUACACCACCAGAAUUCAGUACCGUGUUAACAUUCAGCUGACUGCUCCCAUUUUUAGCUCGUUUUGUAGGCGUACUUUAGGCAAAAUUUGGUCUACAAAUAUAUUGUUUCAGCAAAGGACAAAGGGAAAAUCGUCAAGGUCAACGACCCAGUUUUUGUUCCGUAGGAUUCCCUUUUUCAAAUGAAGCUCCUACCUGAAGAAGGGCAUGGUAGUAGAUAUUGUAUCUGUUUUAUGUGUCAGAAGAGACGACCAGCUGGUUGAUUUUGUGCGCACAUUCUGUAAAUUCAACUUACCAAUAAAGCUUUGACAGGUGUGUUUUCAUUUCAAACAACAUAUCAUCUCUGAUUCUUUAAUCUGUUUAUUUGUUUAUUUUGUGUACUGUAGAACUUGUUUCUCCGUGUUCUAAAAUACAUACCUAUAAAAGAAGGGAUUGAUAUGAAAAUAACUCCCGGUUUAAGUUAGGAUUGAGUGAAAUUACCUAAAGGUAUAUGUCCAUCUCCCACAAAUGGUGUAAUCAGCUCCCCUGCAAUGCUUCUUGCUUACAGAACAAGAUUCUUGAUGUUGCUUAUGGUGCCCCUUUGGACUUCUUCUUCAAUGGUCCCACGCCGGCCCAAAUAAUAUAUGUCUUGCUUAUUUUUUGGUGCUCCUUCGGUUGGGCCUUUGGGCCACCCCUCUCUUCUAUUACAAAAAAAAGGGGGUUUACAGCAACUUGUGUCUUUAGGCUGAACAAAGUACAAUUGCCUUUGUGCCUUACAUAACUCAUUUUUGUGUAUUCAUGUCAUAUUGCCAGUACAUUCCAAAUGGAAAGGAGUACCCAGUUUUACCCAGAAAGUUGAGGCCUUCUGGUGGUUGAGCAUGAUAUUUCCUUAGUUUUUUUCUGACUGGGAGAAGGAAGAAAUGUUCUUGACUGGAAUGAGAUCACAAAGAAAUUUGGGACUUGCUUUGCUACAUAAAGUAGUCUGAUGUGAUCUCCAUAUUCACAUAAUAUACCAUGUGAGAUUCAACUGUAUAGUUCAAUAUAGUUUGAUUAUCAUAUUUUCUGUAGUUAAUUUUGGACAUUGCUUA